ACACAUGCUCGUCGAGCGAGCAGCACGGGAAGCUUGCUUCCUGGUGGCGAGCGGCGGACGGGUGAGUAAUGCAUAGAAAUCUGCCCGGUAGUGGGGGAUAACCUGGGGAAACCCAGGCUAAUACCGCAUACGUCCUACGGGAGAAAGCAGGGGAUCUUCGGACCUUGCGCUAUCGGAUGAGUCUAUGUCGGAUUAGCUUGUUGGUGAGGUAAUGGCUCACCAAGGCGACGAUCCGUAGCUGGUCUGAGAGGAUGAUCAGCCACAUCGGGACUGAGACACGGCCCGAACUCCUACGGGAGGCAGCAGUGGGGAAUAUUGGACAAUGGGCGAAAGCCUGAUCCAGCCAUGCCGCGUGUGUGAAGAAGGCCUUCGGGUUGUAAAGCACUUUCAGUGGGGAAGAAAGCCUUGGGGCUAAUACCCUCGAGGAAGGACAUCACCCACAGAAGAAGCACCGGCUAACUCCGUGCCAGCAGCCGCGGUAAUACGGAGGGUGCGAGCGUUAAUCGGAAUUACUGGGCGUAAAGCGCGCGUAGGCGGUCUGAUAAGCCGGUUGUGAAAGCCCCGGGCUCAACCUGGGAACGGCAUCCGGAACUGUCAGGCUAGAGUGCAGGAGAGGAAGGUAGAAUUCCCGGUGUAGCGGUGAAAUGCGUAGAGAUCGGGAGGAAUACCAGUGGCGAAGGCGGCCUUCUGGACUGACACUGACGCUGAGGUGCGAAAGCGUGGGUAGCAAACAGGAUUAGAUACCCUGGUAGUCCACGCCGUAAACGAUGUCGACUAGCCGUUGGGCUCCUUGAGAGCUUUGUGGCGCAGUUAACGCGAUAAGUCGACCGCCUGGGGAGUACGGCCGCAAGGUUAAAACUCAAAUGAAUUGACGGGGGCCCGCACAAGCGGUGGAGCAUGUGGUUUAAUUCGAUGCAACGCGAAGAACCUUACCUACCCUUGACAUCGUGCGAACUUUCCAGAGAUGGAUUGGUGCCUUCGGGAACGCACAGACAGGUGCUGCAUGGCUGUCGUCAGCUCGUGUUGUGAAAUGUUGGGUUAAGUCCCGUAACGAGCGCAACCCUUGUCCUUAUUUGCCAGCGAGUAAUGUCGGGAACUCUAAGGAGACUGCCGGUGACAAACCGGAGGAAGGUGGGGACGACGUCAAGUCAUCAUGGCCCUUACGGGUAGGGCUACACACGUGCUACAAUGGCCGGUACAAAGGGUUGCGAAGCCGCGAGGUGGAGCUAAUCCCGAAAAGCUGGUCUCAGUCCGGAUCGGAGUCUGCAACUCGACUCCGUGAAGUCGGAAUCGCUAGUAAUCGUGAAUCAGAAUGUCACGGUGAAUACGUUCCCGGGCCUUGUACACACCGCCCGUCACACCAUGGGAGUGGACUGCACCAGAAGUGGUUAGCCUAACUUCGGAGGGCG
rnacentral:rRNA from 1 species